UGUUAAAAAUUUCAUUCAUUUGUACUGUUAAAAACUAAUAUGACUGACAGAAUAACCAGACAAUGACAUAUGACAUGUCGUGUGUACCUUAUGCUGAUGUAUGAGAACCAGUUUGUAACAAUAAAAAUUGAUGAAAUUUUUAAUA
rfam:Gossypium arboreum cultivar AKA8401 contig_9605_7, whole genome shotgun sequence.